AACUCUCAACAACGGAUAUCUUGGCUCCCGUAACGAUGAAGAACGCAGCGAAAUGCGAUGCGUAGUGUGAAUUGCAGAAUUCCGUGAACCAUCGAAUCUUUGAACGCAAAUUGCGCUCGAGGCUUCGGCCAAGAGCAUGUCUGCCUCAGCGUC
rnacentral:rRNA from 1 species